rnacentral:rRNA from 1 species
GACGAACGCUGGCGGCGUGCUUAACACAUGCAAGUCGAACGGAAAGGCCCUGCUUUUGUGGGGUGCUCGAGUGGCGAACGGGUGAGUAACACGUGAGUAACCUGCCCUUGACUUUGGGAUAACUUCAGGAAACUGGGGCUAAUACCGGAUAGGAGCUCCUGCUGCAUGGUGGGGGGUGGAAAGUUUCGGCGGUUGGGGAUGGACUCGCGGCUUAUCAGCUUGUUGGUGGGGUAGUGGCUUACCAAGGCAUUGACGGGUAGCCGGCCUGAGAGGGUGACCGGCCACCUUGGGACUGAGAUACGGCCCAGACUCCUACGGGAGGCAGCAGUGGGGAAUAUUGCACAAUGGGCGGAAGCCUGAUGCAGCAACGCCGCGUGCGGGAUGACGGCCUUCGGGUUGUAAACCGCUUUCGCCUGUGACGAAGCGUGAGUGACGGUAAUGGGUAAAGAAGCACCGGCUAACUACGUG